rnacentral:tRNA from 1 species
GGGGAGUACGGGGAUGGUUCCCCCUGUGGGCUGCAAACCCACGAGCCGGCCUGUGACCCAGGUUGGAGUCCGGUUCGAUUCCGACUACUCCCC